UCUCUGUAAAACCAGUGUGCCAAGAAGGCUAGUAACAGAGCUGGAAAGUUAUCCCGUAUCCCGUCCCCCUUCCCAUACUCUGGGGACGUGCUGGCUCAUCGGGUUGGAAUUGUGCGGCUGUUCUGGGAUCUGAGGAUCUCCACACUUUUGGGCAGGUGUGGAGAUCCUGGCCAGGAUCUCCGUGGCCAGUUUUUUCCUGCUGUGGAGAGAGUGGUAACGACAGGAUUUGUGCAUAGUUUGUUACCCAAACGGAGUCAUUGUUGAACAAGAUAUCUUCAGGAAAGACUGGCAGUGUGGAAGCUUUGUAAAUUUGCCUUGUUAAAAACAAGCCCCAUCUUCGUACCUGCUGAAACCUAGUUCUCGUCCAGAGGCUAUGCGAUGAACAAAGGGGGCUAGUAAUACCGACCGCACGGGGUGCAGACAGCCCGGCCCACGCAGGUACACCGCUCCAGCCGGGGAGGGGAGGGCGGCUGUGUGUAAAGGACGCCUUUUAUUGUGACUCUUUCACCUCCCCCAGCCCAGCCCUGAGCCAUGAGAAGAGGAGCGUUGUCAAAGAGACAGGCCAAUUUUACCCAUCUUACACAAUAGCGCAUUACAGACUUUCCAAGAAGACGCCAUUCAGGGUGAAUCACCAAAUUCAGGAUGAAAAGGUUUUGAUUUGCAAAAGCGCUCAAGCAUUUCUCCUUAGAGCCGGAGAUGGCAAGGAAGGAACCGACGACGUGCGUGCAGCUGCCUCACCUUUGGGCCAGGUGCACUGGCACGCGCUCCGAGGUGGUGCGGGGCUCGUGCAGCCGGCAUUCACAGGCGCCUUUGUCACACCCUGGGUGCCCGGGCCGUGAGUGCCUUACUUAAAGGCAGAAAAGAGUGAGAGGGUGCUGGUGAUGGCGGGGUAUUGAAAUGUGUGCAACGGAGUCGAAACACGAAUUGCAGGUUCACGUCGACUGGAAUCACUGUUAAAAUUUUCCGGACCUCAAUUGGGUUUCGUGAACACAGGUAGGAGGUGAUGAGCAAGGAUGCUGGACUGAGGAUUGUAUCAUUUGGGAUGAUCUCAGCUACAAAUAGCAGAGAAAUCUCUCUGAGAUGACACAAGCCCUUCUGCUCAAAGUUUGGGCUUAGAACUAGCAACAUCACCCCCACCCGGGAGCUCGGACUUGUGGGAUCCUCAGCUCCAGACCACCCCUUCUGGAUCCGAAUCUGCAUUUUGACAAGAGACGUGGGUUACUUGUCUGCACACAUUGUAGUCUGGGAAGGCACAGCAUUAAACAAGGACCUUUUUUUUUUUUUUUUUUUUUAAAUGCAUUUCAGAUAGCAAGCCGGCUAGGGGUCAGCAGCGCGGGGGGCCUUAACUCAGCAAGUCAACGAUGUCAAGGAGGACCUGGGUGCUUUCCAUUUUUCUGCUCUGCUGUGCUGUGUGUGCUUCCUUUUCCACUCAGAUUUAUCUUUCUGUGGUCACAAGAUGGCUGUGGAAGCUGCAGGCCUUACCUCCCAGCACAGCGGAGGGAGGGGGUAGGAAAGGGAAGCUCCCCCCUCCUAUACGCCUUUUAGACAGCAGGGAAACAUUUGCCAGAAGCCACUCAAUAGAUUUCUCCUCGUGUUACACGUCUCAUAUCUGAUUGUCUAGAACUGCAGCGUGUUGCCCAUUCCUCAAUCGGGUGCUGGCAGAGGGACUGGAAUAAGGACGGUUGGCUAAGGCCAAUGCACAUUUACCCUCUGGGACAAGGUAGGAGCCUGGCCUCCUUGGAAGCACAUGGUGUAAGCAUAAACACAGUGUGUUUCUGUCACUGGGAAGAAACAAAGUUUCUCCCUAGAACUGACUUCCCAGCAAUCCUACUGAAGUCACAGAAUACUGCAUGUGCAAAGCCAAAUUAAAACACAGUCCUUGUUGGGGUCGUGUCUGUUUGAAAAUUUAAGAAGCAGAUGAUGUCUGAGAAUAUUCCUGAAGCUCAGAUUCCAAGGACCAGCGGAAUUGACCAGAAGGAACCUCAGAAAGGAAACAGGAGGGGAGGUCGUGACCUCUGCUGCCAGCACAGAGCUUGGAGCUGCU